CAGUAGCCGCGGUAAUACGAAGGGUGCAAGCGUUAAUCGGAAUUACUGGGCGUAAAGCGUGCGUAGGCGGUUUGACAAGUCUGAUGUGAAAUCUCUGGGCUCAACCCAGAGUCUGCAUCGGAAACUGUCGAGCUUGAGUAUGGGAGAGGUGAGUGGAAUUUCCGGUGUAGCGGUGAAAUGCGUAGAUAUCGGAAGGAACACCUGUGGCGAAAGCGGCUCACUGGACCAUUACUGACGCUGAGGCGCGAAAGCUAGGGGAGCAAACAAGAUUAGAUACCCCGGUAGUCCCUGUCUCUUAUAC
rnacentral:rRNA from 1 species